AUUGAACGCUGGCGGCAUGCCUUACACAUGCAAGUCGAACGGCAGCACGGGGCAACCUGGUGGCGAGUGGCGAACGGGUGAGUAAUACAUCGGAACGUACCUUUCAGUGGGGGAUAACGUAGCGAAAGUUACGCUAAUACCGCAUAUUCUGUGAGCAGGAAAGCAGGGGAUCGCAAGACCUUGCGCUGAUUGAGCGGCCGAUGUCAGAUUAGCUAGUUGGUGAGGUAAAGGCUCACCAAGGCGACGAUCUGUAGCGGGUCUGAGAGGAUGAUCCGCAACACUUGAACUGAGACACGGUCCAGACUCAUACGGGAGGCAGCAGUGGGGAAUUUUGGACAAUGGGGGCAACCCUGAUCCAGCCAUGCCGCGUGGGUGAAGAAGGCCUUCGGGUUGUAAAGCUCUUUCGGCCGGGAAGAAAUCGCACGGGCUAAUACCCUGUGUGGAUGACGGCACCGGAAUAAGAAGCACCGGCUAACUACGUGCCAGCCGCCGCAGUAAGAC
rnacentral:rRNA from 1 species